rnacentral:rRNA from 1 species
CGGGUACCUUUUGUAGAAUGGUCCGGCGAGUGAAUGUAACUGGCAAGGUUAAGCACUUAAGGUGUGAAGCCGUAGCGAGAGCGAGUCUGAAAAGGGCGCAAGAAGUCAGUUGUAUUCGACCCGAAACCGGGUGACCUACCCAUGUCCAGGCUGAAGUGCAGGUAAAACUUCAUGGAGGGCCGAACCGACUCCCGUUGAAAUGGUAGCGGAUGAGGUGUGGAUAGCGGAG